GACGGCCAUAUCGCAUUGAAACACUGGUUCUCAAACGAUCACCGAAGUUAACCGACGUAGAGCCUGGUCAGUACCAAGAUGGGUGACCGCUUGAGAAUACGCGGUUCUGUA